rnacentral:rRNA from 1 species
CCUACGGGAGGCAGCAGUGGGGAAUAUUGGACAAUGGGGGCAACCCUGAUCCAGCCAUGCCGCGUGUGUGAAGAAGGCCCUCGGGUUGUAAAGCACUUUCAGUGAGGAAGAACGCCUGGUGGUUAAUACCCAUCAGGAAAGACAUCACUCACAGAAGAAGCACCGGCUAACUCCGUGCCAGCAGCCGCGGUAAUACGGAGGGUGCGAGCGUUAAUCGGAAUUACUGGGCGUAAAGCGCGCGUAGGUGGCUUGAUAAGCCGGUUGUGAAAGCCCCGGGCUCAACCUGGGAACGGCAUCCGGAACUGUCAAGCUAGAGUGCAGGAGAGGAAGGUAGAAUUCCCGGUGUAGCGGUGAAAUGCGUAGAGAUCGGGAGGAAUACCAGUGGCGAAGGCGGCCUUCUGGACUGACACUGACACUGAGGUGCGAAAGCGUGGGUAGUAAACAGGAUUAGAUACCCGGGUAGUC